GAUGAACGCUAGCUGCAGGCUUAACACAUGCAAGUCGAGGGGUAACGAGAGGAAAGCUUGCUUUCCUUGUCGACGACCGGCGCACGGGUGAGUAACGCGUAUCCAACCUGCCCCCAACUAAGGAAUAACCUUGCGAAAGUAAGACUAAUACCUUAUAAUUUCCUCAGAUGUCAUCUGACGAGGAAUAAAGAUUUAUCGGUUGUGGAUGGGGAUGCGUCUGAUUAGCUUGUUGGCGGGGUAACGGCCCACCAAGGCAACGAUCAGUAGGGGUUCUGAGAGGAAGGUCCCCCACAUUGGAACUGAGACACGGUGCAAACGCCUACGGGAGGCAGCAGUGAGGAAUAUUGGUCAAUGGGCGAAAGCCUGAACCAGCCAAGUAGCGUGCAGGAUGACGGCCCUAUGGGUUGUAAACUGCUUUUAUACAGGAAUAAAGUUAGCCACGUGUGGUUAUUUGUAGGUACUGUAUGAAUAAGGGCCGGCUAAUUCCGUGCCAGCCGCCGCCGUAA
rnacentral:rRNA from 1 species